UCCCUUCCCGUCCCGUCCCGUCCCGUCCCGUCCCGUCAGGCACUACAGAAAUCCCGGAGAGCUGACUCAGGAGGGAAAGAAGAAUCCAGGAUAGAGGACACAGAAUAAAAUGAAGACUUUUGUCCGUCUUCAUGGAUAUGCUACUGAGAGAAUAAACUAGAAGCAGUAUCUAAUACCAAUUGCAAACUCUGGAGAGUGUCAUUUUUGCAGUCUGGACUCACACCACAGGCCCGCAUUGGACUUCCUCCUCCUCCUGUGGUGAUCCUUCUUCCAUGAUCAUGAGAACAUUCUUUUUUCACCAGCUUUAAAGUUAACUGGUUUUCUCUUUUAGUUUUUUGAGCAACUGAGAUCUUUGAAGGUUUGAGUUCUUUUUUAGCAUUUAACAGAGGAAGGAAUGACAUUAAUAGGCCACUCCUUAAGCCUGCCUGAUAUGGCUGAAGGCACAUCAGUUUUUUGUCAAAUUCUCCAUACCUCAAUGGACAGGAAGGACUUGGCUGUCACCCAGAGAUCCCUCUAACACCUGCUGGAACAUACAAUUGAGAACUGACAUUUAAGAAAUGAAUGCUUUUCUUUGAUUCCCUGCCUGUGUUGUUGGAAAAUAUGUAACCUGUAGACCAAGAAAGAAUUUACUGAACAUUUAAGCAAACAGACCAUUUAGGCAAUUAGAAUUGCAAUUUGGGAGACACAGAUUCAGGAAGUGUAUUCUGAGGAAGGCAAAGAGGAGUCAGAAUUAUAUGGCAAAGGCAACCAUUGUAGUUCUCAUUUGAGUCCUCUAUGCAAAACAGAAAUUGAAACUAUGUGGGGGCACCUGGGUGGCUCAGUGGUUGAGCAUCUGCCUUGGGCUCAGGGCAGGAUCCUGGUCCCGGGAUGGAGUCCCACAUCGAGCUUUCUGCGUGGAGCCUGAUUCGCCCUCUGCCUGUGUCUCUGCCCCUCUCUCUGUCUUUCAUGGAUAAAUAAAUAAAAUCUUUAAACAAACAAACAACAGUAAGAACAACAACAAAAAAAAAUGAAAAAAAAAACUGGAUUAACUGGAAUUGGUUGGGUUAAUAUGCAAAUGAGAGAUUGAAACCUGUUAAAUUGAAUUGGCUCUUUUUGAAGUGAAGAAUACAGAUGUUUCAGGUUUCAUGGUGAGGGAAGUUAAGUCCAGGCUUAAGGUUUGCAGCUGGUGAAAAAAAUUUUUUUUAAAAGAUGUUCAUGAUUUCCCCCAUGAUGAUGUGCAUAAAUUCUUUCUCCUUUAUGGCCUCCCGACCUAACCUUAUUUUUAAAAGAAAUUUUCUUAGCGAGGUUUACUUGUUCUAUUUUGAAAUCUCCUUUUACAUAGCUGACAUUUAUUUCUAUUCCCAACUCACACAGCUUUCUACUCAGCAUGCUAGUAUUGCUUGGGAUCAUUGAUUUCUCUUGUACUCUUCUAGCUCUGUCCCAUUGAAAGAGAACUUCAGCUGCCUCCAUUUUGACCUCAAAUUUUCUAUGGGGGUCUUCAUUCCAGGUUGUCUCUUGGCUCAGGAGGAAGACCCUGAGGGCAAAGCAUACCCUGAUGAGAACUGAAAUUACCCCUUCAAGCAAUAAGGAUGCUUUGAACAAGCAAGACCCCACCCACAGGUGACUGACUCCAAGAAAGUGAGCCAUUUGGCCUUCACUGCCAUCACACAGUAUGCACUCACCCUUGCCCUACGUUUUCCUUUUAUAAACCUAAAAGUAUUUUUGGCACUUCGGAGACAGUCUUAGAGAUUUUAGUCUGAAGUCUUCCGCAUGUUGGCCUCACUGAGAUAAAUUUCUUUCUUGUUUGAACACCACUCAUCUCUCUACCUUUGGAUUUUGUCAGCAGCAAGUGACCAAACCUGGUUUCUUAGAGGCCCUUGCAGCGAUGAAACUAUGCAACACCCAACAGCUAAUAGCCAUAGAUGCUAAAAUGUUAACAAAUGCCUGUGUUUUGUUAAUGUAAAUGAAUUAAAGAACAGUCAAAUAGUAAUACAUAAUCUUAUUAACUUUUGGACUGUAUUGUAGUUUAUAUAUUCUGUAGAGAGAAUGUCAGAGAAGAGAGAUUACUUGGAGGCCAGAAUUGUUGGGGAGGCACACCCUCUAUCUACAAUCCCCUUUUCCAGCAGUCAUAUCAGCAUGAUAAAUCCUAGCUGAUGAGAGCUGCUGGGUAGAUAUUUCUGCUCUUUAGCAUGCCAAUGACUAAUUCCAUAUCUCUGGCAUUUUCCAACUAUCAGUAGAAGUGUUUUCAGUCAACCAUAGUACUUAUUAUUUAAGUAGUAAAUGAUACCUUUUCAAUUGUGAGUUUUAUAAUUUAUCCUACUUGUCAUAAUCUAUAUUUACAGAUUAUUUAAAAAAACAGUCAACAACGAGUUCUUCAGAAUAUGCGCUUUUAUUCUGCCUUUUAAGAUAAAUAGAUGUGUAUGUACUCAUUUGUGCAAAUACCACUUGUUCCCCUCUGCUGCCAUUUCUGUGACAGCAGUAUGCAGGACCAUUCUUUAAGUGAUUAUAUUCUAAUGGGAAAACAGCCAAACAAAAACUGUCAGCUAUUUCAUAUACUUGCUAAAGCUAUUUAGAAAUACAAAUUAACAUGAUGUGAAGAUUUAUAAAUAUGGGUAAGUAAUGUGCUAUAAAUGUGCAUUUUAUUUUAUUAGUUUCUCUAAGUUUCUGGCAAAAUAAACUGAAACAGUCUGCUCUUUUUUUUUAAAGGUGGGUUAU